UCCGCUGUGGUGUAAUCGGCAGCACUGCUGGUUUUGGUCCAGUAAGUCCGGGUUCGAAUCCUGGCAGCGGAG
rnacentral:tRNA from 2 species